rnacentral:lncRNA from 1 species
CUUGGGUUGAGUUUCAGGGUCAUUUCCACUUUCCUGUGGAAAAAGCUACCCGUCUCACUGAAAAACUGGCAGGCUAAAGGUCUUUUGGCACCUCUGCCUCCCAUUAUAGUUUUGGAUUGCAAGUGAGGCUCACACUUCCCUGCUUAGAGAAUGUCCUCCCUUUCCUUGUUCCCUUUGUGUGUGUGUUUUUUGUUGCUUUUAUUUUAAACAGCAUUUUUCAUGUUGUUUUCCCUGUAGGGCAGUGAGUGACAAGGUUUAGCCAGGGUAAGCUUCAGCCAUCAGGAAGAACAAUCAAAACAUAUUUUUAUUUCUCUGGGUUUCUGGAGAGCUGUGGUAGAAUAUGACAAAACAUAAGCAAAGCUAUUUUCAGCAGAGGUCUUUAUCCCACAAACUUUGUACUGAAAUUGUACCAGAGCUCCUUGCUGCCCCAGGCAUCCCACACUCCCCGAGGCUGUUCCCAGAGCUUCAAACUUUCCGCAGAAGCUUCUGGAGUUGGUGUUUUACCCCAAGAUGUGUUUUGAUAUUGAUGGCAAAGCUAAAAAGGGGAGAGCCUUAAAAGAAAGAAGCAGAAGCUUGCAGCUAAAUGUGGACAUCAUUAUCACAUUUUUAGUGACUGAAGAUACCUGUUGGAAUUGGUGAGGCUGGUGUCUCAGAACUGUGUUGCAAUUUGGC